ACUUUUAACCAGCUAUCAGUCCAGCUUGCUGUUGCUCUUUUAUCUGUAAGUGAGGCAGACUCUGGCCGUUAGGUGGUUGAUACAUUUGAUAAUCUUAAUUAAUUUGUCUACAUUUCCAUAGGACUCAAGACUCGAAAACAGAAAAGAGAGGAGAGGAAGAAACCUUCACAGGAGCUUAACCGGGUAGAGGGCAUCUAAGCCCAGCGCCUAUAUUUGCAGUACAGAGGAUGCAUCUCCUCUGUGAGAAGCCCCCUCUCCCAGAUGGUCAUCACUCCUGAAGCUCCCUUUGGUCUCCCGGAAAAGAAACUCCACUAUUGGACCCAGGUCUUCCAUUCUGCUUUGCCUGAGCUGCGUCUGCUUGCCUGCACAUGUUCUUCUUGAUUAAUGUGUGUCCUCAGCAGUGUGGUCCUAUAGCAAAACUCAGAACAUUGGUGAUGGUUCGGUGCUUCUCUCCUGUGUUCUGCAUGUUCCACAAGGCUGAUUCAGCCCUAAAGACACCACCGAAUUCUAUCAGAAAUUCAGAAAUGAUUAAGAUGUGGAGCCUUCCUAAGUGAAAGUCAGCAGACUAUCUUAGAAAAGUUCAUACAAGACAAUUGCUGUAACUUCGCCUUAAUAAAAUGUUUGAACUUUU